rnacentral:rRNA from 1 species
UACGUAGGGGUGCGAGCGUUGUCCGGAAUUAUUGGGCGUAAAGAGCUUGUAGGCGGUUUGUCGCGUCUGCUGUGAAAAUCCGGGGCUCAACCCCGGACUUGCAGUGGGUACGGGCAGACUAGAGUGUGGUAGGGGAGACUGGAAUUCCUGGUGUAGCGGUGGAAUGCGCAGAUAUCAGGAGGAACACCGAUGGCGAAGGCAGGCCUCUGGGCCACUACUGACGCUGAGAAGCGAAAGCAUGGGGAGCGAACAGG